GGCUGCGGAGCUCUCCCGCGGCGGGGCCGCCCUGCCGCCUGGCCGGCUCACGCGCACCUUCCGGUUUAACCGGGCCGUAUUUUUGCCGGGGAAGGAGCUACUCCCGGGCGGGGCUACGUGCGGUUGCGCCAGUACUCGCCUUAUCAGCUCCCCUCGCCGAGCCCGUCCCGCCGAGACCCCAAGCGCGUCGAGGGAAGGGCGCCUCCCUAACACAGGCCAGUGCUCUCCUCUGCCGCGGAGAGGCUUUGUGCUCCAACCAGCACCUUCUCACCUCCCGAACGGAGAGCUGUCUCUUGUACCAGGAUUGCGACAGAAUGCUCUGAUAGAACAGGUGGUUUGGUUUUUUGUGUGUGUAGGACACCAACUGCAGCUGUCAUUUCCCUCCAAAGACGUCCUUAGAACCCUUGCAUUCCCACCUCUGGCUAGCCCUUUCCCCGCGUGAAAGCCCGUCCUCACUUAAUGCCCCUUCCAUACCUGCUAGCUGUGUAGUUUUGCUUCAGCAGAGUGAAGUGAUCUGCUAAUACCUGGUUGGCUUAUCACCAGCUGUGCACCCUUUGGUCUAACAAUGCUUUUACUUGGAAGGAAUUCACUAUUCCACCAAUUCUUGUUCAUCCUUUUGGGGCUUGAGAUCUCAAAAUUUGCGUUUUACUGAAAAUACUGCUGCUGAAUAACCUCACCUAACACUUCUUUCUGUAUACUCACACUUUUGGUGAUCUCUUCCAGUCUUAUAUUUAAAUAUCAUCUAUGUUAAUGACUACCAAAUUUUUAUCUCCAGCUGAGCUGUCUCUCCUGAACUCAAACUAAUAUAUCUAUUGCUUUCUUAACAUCUCCAAUGAAAUGUCUCAUAGUCAUGUUAAACUCAAAAUGUUCAAAACUGAGCCGCUGAUCUUCCCUCUAUCCCGCAAACCUGCUUCUUACAAAAUCUCUGUAAAUGACAAUUCUUUGUUCCAUUUUUAAGGCCAAAAACCGUGGGGUCAUCCCUGACCCCACAUCCAUGCAUAAGCAGACUGUGUUAACUCUAACAAGAUAUUCCUGGAAUCCUACCACUUCUCCGAACUUUCAUUGCUACCACCAUAGGCCCAGGCACCUCCAUCACUCAACUGGAUUCAUCACUCGGACUGGCUGGUCUCCUUACUUCUGCCCUUGCCA